rnacentral:rRNA from 1 species
UACGUAGGGUGCGAGCGUUGUCCGGAAUUAUUGGGCGUAAAGAGCUCGUAGGCGGUGUGUCGCGUCGGCCGUGAAAACCUGGGGCUCAACUCUGGGCGUGCGGUCGAUACGGGCAUCACUUGAGUUCGGCAGGGGAGACUGGAAUUCCUGGUGUAGCGGUGAAAUGCGCAGAUAUCAGGAGGGAAACACCCAGUGGCGAAGGCGGCUCACUGGCCCGAUACUGACGCUGAGGCACGAAAGCGUGGGGAGCAAACAGG